CGCCUACACAUGCAAGUCGAGCGGAAACGACUUAACUGAACCUUCGGGGAACGUUAAGGGCGUCGAGCGGCGGACGGGUGAGUAAUGCCUAGGAAAUUGCCUUGAUGUGGGGGAUAACCAUUGGAAACGAUGGCUAAUACCGCAUNAUGCCUACGGGCCAAAGAGGGGGACCUUCGGGCCUCUCGCGUCAAGAUAUGCCUAGGUGGGAUUAGCUAGUUGGUGAGGUAAGGGCUCACCAAGGCGACGAUCCCUAGCUGGUCUGAGAGGAUGAUCAGCCACACUGGAACUGAGACACGGUCCAGACUCCUACGGGAGGCAGCAGUGGGGAAUAUUGCACAAUGGGCGCAAGCCUGAUGCAGCCAUGCCGCGUGUAUGAAGAAGGCCUUCGGGUC
rnacentral:rRNA from 1 species